AACGUAGGAUCCGAGCGUUAUCCGAAUUUACUGGGCGUAAAGCGCGUGCAGGCGGUUUGGUAAGUUGGAUGUAAAAGCUCCUGGCUCAACUGGGAGAUGUCGUUCAAAACUGCCAGACUAGAGGAUGGUAGAGGGAGGUGGAAUUCCGGGUGUAGUGGUGAAAUGCGUAGAUAUCCGGAGGAACACCAGUGGCGAAGGCGGCCUCCUGGGCCAUUCCUGACGCUCAGACGCGAAGGCUAGGGUAGCGAACGGG
rnacentral:rRNA from 1 species